UCGGGAAUAUUGCACAAUGGAGGAAACUCUGAUGCAGUGACACCGCGUAUAGGAAGAAGGUUUUCGGAUUGUAAACUAUUUUAGACAGGGAAGAAAAAAGACAGUACCUGUAGAAUAAGCUCCGGCUAACUACGUGCCAGCAGCCGCGGUAAUACGUAGGGAGCAAGCGUUAUCCGGAAUUAUUGGGUGUAAAGGGUGCGUAGACGGGACAGCAAGUUAGUUGUGAAAGCCCUCGGCUUAACUGAGGAACUGCAACUAAAACUAUUGUUCUUGAGUGCAGGAGAGGAAAGCGGAAUUCCUAGUGUAGCGGUGAAAUGCGUAGAUAUUAGGAGGAACACCAGUGGCGAAGGCGGCUUUCUGGACUGUAACUGACGUUGAGGCACGAAAGUGUGGGGAGCAA
rnacentral:rRNA from 1 species